GACGAACGCUGGCGGCGUGCCUAAUACAUGCAAGUCGAGCGGACUGAAUGGGAGCUUGCUCUUGUUCGGUCAGCGGCGGACGGGUGAGUAACACGUGGGCAACCUGCCCGCAAGACCGGGAUAACUCCGGGAAACCGGAGCUAAUACCGGAUAACACCGAAGACCGCAUGGUCUUUGGUUGAAAGGCGGCGCAAGCUGCCACUUGCGGGUGGGCCCGCGGCGCAUUAGCUAGUUGGUGAGGUAACGGCUCACCAAGGCGACGAUGCGUAGCCGGCCUGAGAGGGUGACCGGCCACACUGGGACUGAGACACGGCCCAGACUCCUACGGGAGGCAGCAGUAGGGAAUCUUCCGCAAUGGGCGAAAGCCUGACGGAGCGACGCCGCGUGAGCGAAGAAGGCCUUCGGGUCGUAAAGCUCUGUUGUGAGGGACGAAGGAGCGCCGUUUGAAGAAGGCGGCGCGGUGACGGUACCUCACGAGGAAGCCCCGGCUAACUACGUG
rnacentral:rRNA from 1 species